ACUUUGUUAUCUUUUCAAGAGCACAUGACUUACAUGUCGGCAAUGAUUCAUAAUCAUUGAUUUCAAGAAAACUCUCCUUGAUUUACCUAUCUAUCAUAUUCCUAUUUAUAUGAUUGAGCCUACAAUACCAAAAGUAAGUAUCUAUAUCAUUAUCUAUUCUAAGCUAUUUGUUCGAUGUGUACAUUAUACUAAUAGGCUAUGAUGUCAUGUUUUAAUUAUCCACGUAUAAUUGUGACACCAUUCAUUAUGAUAUCACAAAAAUUUUCUUUUAUUGAAAAUUUUAUAACCAUCCUUGGCCA
rnacentral:lncRNA from 1 species